AAUCUGAGGCACAAAAGGCAAUGCAUAUGGGUAUCAGGUUUGGAACUCAGUCCUGUUCUGCCUUCGGAGCCUAUGUAUUUAACUGCCUCCUGAAGUAAACUGGGUAAUGACAUGGCUCUACUCUCUUGCCAUCUUUACCAAGUUCAUCCUCAAAAAAGAAAACUCUGCACCUGUUGGGAAUAUUGAGAGGAACAAAAACAUAUUCAAAAGAAAAUAUCAAAGAAGAGUUAGGAAAAGAAAAAAGGCUAUAUUUGUUGUGCUUCCCCAGCUUUUUCAAGCUCAAACUAAAGCUCUUACAACGAAUCAAGCUCAUAUGAAAAGUUACUAAUGAAUUAUAACUGUUUAAAUGUCUAUUGGCCAUAGAUUGGCAAGAACAAAAGUGGAAGAUUGAGCUCUUAAAGCAUGAAAACAGGCAGGAAGAAAAUACAGAAAAUAGAUUUCAAGAAUGUUUCCAUCAUCAGCUGAUUAUUGCCAAAGAUCGUGUCAUAUUUGCCAUUGGAAUUUUGCCAAGAAGAUGAACAAACCAGCAACACCAAUCACAGGUAUUUGAAGAGGAGGACUACUCAGUUUUUCCUUGACAAAUGAUUGACUAAAUUGGGAAUGUCAUCAAUGAUGUUGAGGCACAAUGCCAUAAGAUACUCUGAUGGAAAGAACAUGAUCUUGUAAAUCAGAUUGACCUGGGAUCAAAUUCUGAAUGUGUUUAUCCUUGUAUAAGUGAAUUUGAGUAAGUUUUUUAAUCUCUCUGACUUCCAUUUUUUCAUCAAUUGCUUCAGAAAUUAGCAGCUACAAAAUUCUGAGAAUAUAAUAAAUGUUCAAUAAAUCUUUUAUGAUGAAUUUUAAAAAACUGUUAUAGAUAUUUGCUACUUUAAAAUAUCAAUGGAUAAUUGCUACUUUAAAAGCUUGUGAGACAGGAUCUAGUCUGUCUUUCUACAAUUUAGGAAUACUGCUGUCCUGCAUGUGAGGAUCAAACCCAAGAACCUCAGGUGAUAGUCACUAUGCACCCUGGCAGUCUGUGCUUUUCCUUAUAAUGUCAAUUUUUCUGUCCAUUCCCUCACUUAGAGAAUAUUAUUUCCUAUUAGAGAAGAUCGGGACUUUGGAGCCAAUAAGUUGAAUCCUACUUUCCUAAUCACUGCUCUGACUGCAAAAGCAAAUGUCACUUUCCUUGUUCUCCAAGGGUUCAUUGCCUAGUACCAACAACAUGAAAACCACCAGUUUUGACAUAAUAUAAUAAAAGUUUAUCAUAUUAAAUCUACAUAAGAAAAUUGAAAAAAUUUUCACAAAACUUUUUCAUAAGAUAGUUUGAAUCUUGAAGGAAAAAUGGAGACCAAGUUUAUGAGGUAGGGCAGGGACUGGGAAAUAUUUCAAGCAAAGAAACUGUGAAGUACUGGAAUAGGGCUUGGUACAUAACAGGUAUUCAAUAAAUGUUGUUGAAGGAAGAAAGAGAACAUGUCCUUUUGCAAUGGAAAAAAAAUUAUUUGAGGCAGCUGUAUGAUCAGUGGUGAAUGUUAGGAGGUAUGUCUGGUAAGGUUGGAUUGAAUUUAGACUUAAUUCUGUGUGGGAACCUCUGGAGCUUUUAGAGACAAAGAACUUCAUCAGAUUCUCGUUUUACAAAAUACCACAAAGAUACCACUGAUUCAAAGGCACACUUUUAAAAUAUUUUAAUGACUCUGAAAGUUGAAUGCACCUUACAAUUGAUGGCAUGCCAUAGUUUAAUUGACAGUCAUUUAUUUUCUUUCUCAGUGGUAUGUAAAAUAAUGUUUACAAAUGAUGGCAUUUUAUCGUUAGUAAAAAAUUGAAAUUAUGGCAGAAGAGGAACAAAGGGACAAUAAAGGGAAGCAAGGAAACCAGUUGGGAGAAUCUCAUAGCGUGACUCUGAGAUAAUGAGGUGUGGUACAAAAUCAAAUAUGCUGCAGCUGAGUUUGAAAUUCCAAAAUAGAUUAGGAGUUCCAAAUUUUAAUAGGAAAAUCUACCUUUUGGUUUUCCACGUUGUUAUUUACUUUGCUUUGCUUUGCUGCAGUUAGAAAAAAAACUGCUAACUUCCCACAAAAAAACCUUAUUUCCUUAACAGAAUAGGUUAAGUAUAAAUAGUAUUAUUUAAUAUCUACUAGAUUUUGAAACUUUGUGAGGGAAAGAAAAUAUCAAGGACUACUGUAUUCAAGGUGUCUUCUCUUUGUCCUGAGAUUUCUUAGAGAAAUAAAGAAAAUUUAUAAUACUGGGUGAGACUUCAAAUAUCCCCAGGUCCAACAUCUUCAUUUUAUAGAUGAGGAAAAUGAAGUCCUGGGGUGCUGAUUAAUUUAAAUUUGCUGACACUUAGCAGCCUCCUUCCUGCUCCCCUAUAACAACAGGCUGCCUUUUUCCUACCUCUGAAUUAGGUCUGUCUCCAGUGAUAGCCUUGAGCAGACAGGGCAAAAAGAUCUUUUCCUACCACAAGUGCCAUGAUUUUCGUAAUUUUGUUCCUAAUUCUUCUCUUUCUGAGUCUGUAGUUGGAACCGUAUCCCUUUUACCUAAAUACCUGGUUGUCUGUCCUACCUUCUUCUCAUUAGACAUGGUGUCUGGGGUUAGGAUCUGCUACCUGGGUAUUUGGUGCACAAGUUUCUGACAGGGCAUGACCUGUCUUUCUGUAUACCAGAGGCUACCAUACUAUGCUGAGGCAUCUCACCUGGUAGCAGAGAUUCUGUAACACAGAACUCCUCCACAUUACUGUUCUUUUUCCUCCAUCUGAUUUCAGAUUGUAUGUGGCUUGCUAGAUGGAGCUCUGUGGAAUAUUUGCUCCAAGCUCCCUACUCUGUGAUCUUUCUUCAAUAUAAGAGCUCCUUUCAUAUCUUUAAGAAGCAAUAUGUACCAAUAGGGUGUUCAGACUGCAUCCCUUCUUAUUGAUUGGGCCAACUUUCCUAUUCACUGGGGAUCACUUCUAAAAAUUGACCUCUUUGAUCAUGCAUCCGUACUGAUUGAUCAGUACCCUUGCAGUUAAGUUCUUAAACAGUGUCUCCUCUGCUUCCUAGCAACCAUUAAUUGGGCACAUGGGGCUGGGUGUAUGUUUAAUGAUUUUGGUAUCUCUUUUAAUCCUCGUAGUAAUCUCAUCCUAAGUUAUGAUCAGACAUAUUUUUUUACAGAAGGGGAACUGAGGCUCAGAGAAAUGAUGUAAUUUUCCAAAGGACAUAGACCAUGUGCCUGAGUCAAGAUUCAAGUCAAGGUCUUGGUGACUUCAUGUUGACCCUAUGUUCUCUUCCAUCCAGGAUCAGUUCAUUGUACAUGGAGUCUGGUCUGCUUAUCAUAUUUCACAUCAAAAUAUCUCUGCUAGUUUGCACUGUGUUUCCAUGUCCUUAGUUGGUGAUCAGGGUGGUGACUGUUUACACCCAAGUCAUACUGGCUAACUGGGCUUGCAGAUCUUUCCUAAUUCCCAAACAUCUAACUCAUUCUUAUCUUAUUACUGGGCUAAAUCCUGCUCAGGUGAGGCAGAAACUUUACAUGUUAGUGUCCAGACCUGUGUGAAGAUUUUAAAUCUUUAUUCUGACAUUGUUACAUUCUGAAGUCACCAAAGGAUUAAAGGGAGAGUUCCUUGUUUCUCAUUCUGAACUGUGUUUUUAGUUACUAAAAUAAAGUUUGAGGAAUCUAAGCAUAUUAUCAGGGCAAUAGAGCAGUAAAAUACACAUUAAAAAUGCCUUCAAGAAGUAAAACUGUGGGCUGGAGUUGUGACUCAGUGGUAGAGCAUUCUCCUAGCAUGUGUGAGGCACUGGGUUUAAUCCUCAGGACUACAUAAAAAUAAAUAAAUAAAUAAAUAAAAUAAAGGUAUU